rnacentral:rRNA from 1 species
UGGGGAAUUUUGGACAAUGGGCGAAAGCCUGAUCCAGCAAUGCCGCGUGUGUGAAGAAGGCCUUCGGGUUGUAAAGCACUUUUGUCCGGAAAGAAAUCCUCUGGGUUAAUACCUCGGGGGGAUGACGGUACCGGAAGAAUAAGCACCGGCUAACUACGUGCCAGCAGCCGCGGUAAUACGUAGGGUGCAAGCGUUAAUCGGAAUUACUGGGCGUAAAGCGUGCGCAGGCGGUUUUGUAAGACGGAUGUGAAAUCCCCGGGCUUAACCUGGGAACUGCAUUCGUGACUGCAAGGCUAGAGUAUGGCAGAGGGGGGUAGAAUUCCACGUGUAGCAGUGAAAUGCGUAGAGAUGUGGAGGAAUACCGAUGGCGAAGGCAGCCCCCUGGGCCAAUACUGACGCUCAUGCACGAAAGCGUGGGGAGCAAACAGGAUUAGAUACCCUGGUAGUCCACGCCCUAAAACGAUGUCAACUAGUUGUUGGGGAUUCAUUUCCUUAGUAACGUAGCUAACGCGUGAAGUUGACCGCCUGGGGAGUACGGUCGCAAGAUUAAAACUUAAAUGAAUUGACGGGGUCAUAGCUGUUUCCU